rnacentral:lncRNA from 1 species
UGGAAGAGAAUUCGGCAUUUUACCAUCGUCCAGCUGUUAUUGCAGUGUAGUGAGUAUGCUAGUACCCAUUGAGUUACCUUUGUAAACCGUAAUAAUUUUGGAUCAAGAACUGUCACAAAAUGCAAUGGUAUAAAGAAAAGUGGUCGACUUCCAGCUGAGAUUUAAACAUUACGUGCACAGAAGCAUGGAUACAGUAGUAAAACCUCAUUUCUAUGUGAGCAGUCAUUUUUGUGAUGUUCUCGUCCUAGCUAGAACUCUUCGCGCUGUUCGUUUGCCGGGUGCAGUAAGCAUUAUUUAAACCAGACUCAAUCAUUCACCCGAUACACCGAACAGCUAACAGCCUACAAACAAUGUUUAAGAAAUGCAUGACAUACCAUAGAAAUGCUUGGGAAUUCAAAGAUUGUUACAGGUUCUAGAAUUGUGAAGUGUGAAGGCUUCAGUGUCUUCAUACAUGAAAGAAUUUGUAGCAGCUACUGUGUUAUGAGCAGCAACAUGUUGUCAGUGCCCGCUAAGCAAGGACAGAGGUGAGCAAGAAGAGGUGAAGAAAGAAACAAAAUGUCUUUAGAAGCUUCUCCUACGAAGACGCGCUUUAGUCGACGGACGCGAUUCCAGAAAAUGAAUUUUUGAUGUCACACUUUAUCCUUUGUUUAUAGCAACCACUGAGAAAUGGCAACACCUGCUUGGCACUACAAACAGUCCUAAGUGUCAGUCCUUGUAUUACAGUAGGUUACAAUGCAGCAAGCGACAUAGCAAGGAGAAGUCGUGAUUUGUUUAAUUAAACAAUGCAACUAUAUUUGUUCCUCAUUGAAAUUUAAAACAAGACGGAACAUCAUGAGAAGCUGGAGGCUUUUUAAGUGCUGAGAUGUCAUCAAAUGAGGGAUGUCACUGGAAGUCGAGCUUCAACAAUGAGGCUCGUCUUUGUUAUGGCAUUCGUCAAAACGUCUGACUUUGGUGACGCCCCCCCGUUUGACAACUUCUCGUUGUUGAAAUCUGGUGAUUCUAAACGAGGUGAAAUACCCUGGUGUUUUAUGCACAUUAACAUAACGCACAAAUGGUAACUUUUCUUUUUUCAUAUUCCAAAUCAUGCCACACACUGUCGUAACGAGUAGACACGCUAGGGCACGAACAUUUUAUCCUAAAGAAAGACUUUUUUUUUUCUUAACGUGUUUGUAGCACACUCUAUACCCGUAUGCUGUCACUUCAUAUCAUUGCCAUAUUGUUGUCUAUGAGCAUUAGAAUUGCAAGAGCCAUCCACUAGUAGUGUAGCUGUUUGUAGACAACAUGUUGCACAUACGAGAACUUGUUGCUAGUCUGUAAAAGCUUCCGGAAUCGAUGUUUUUUACUACCAUGGAAAACUGAAUGUGUUACUGUUGUUGAAAGAGGAAGAUUGGUAGUGCCCAUUGGUGUUGCAGAGAUGGCAAUGAAAUGCUUACGGAUCUCUGAGGAAGAAAGCUUCUCAGUUGGCAAAGUGUUCGUCCUGAUCCGGGAUUUGAAAUUGGAGACUAACACCCAUUAGGGGCGGUCACUGUUCCAUCUCAGCGAAUCAGGAAACUAGUAGAUAGCAGCGCGAGGGCAAAUCGAUCGACAAGUCAAUGAACAGGAACACAAAAUAUGAAAAAUUGGUUCUUCUGAAGCUCUCUAGGUGGAGGAACGUUUAUGAAAGAGGGGAAUCGUCAUUCACAAGCUUGUAGCACAAAGCCAGGACUGGCUUGCCAUAUUGAUUGGUCCAUCUGCUUUAAUGUGUUAAUUAUUUCGCUCUCAUGCAACAAAGUUAUCUAUCUAUCUAUCAAGCUGCAAUCUUCUAAGUUCAGGCGUUAGAGUGAUGACCAUGGAAAGACUUAAAACCCGGUAUCAAAUUUCGGAACAGGACGAAUUUUUUUGUCACUGAGAAAGCCUUUUUUUCUUAGAAAUUGGUACGAAUCUCAUUUCUAGGUUCGUGCUAAAGGUGAUUACUACUGGUUUUUCUCACAAAGGAAUUUCUUUUUCCUGAUUAUAAGUGUACAGAUAUGGUAAAAGAAGUGUCUAAGUUCCCAUAUAAGGUUUCCUAUGUGGAACGCUGCAUGCAUUUCACGGAGGUCCCGUCACAGAUUUAUUUACAGAUGGCCCACACAGUGUCAAAAAAGAUGAACCAUCACUCUGUAAAAUAGUCCUUGAUAACUGACAUGUUCAUGUUAUGCGCUACUGUUAGAUUGCUACCCCUGUUCCAUUCUGUAACACGCCUGUUUGGAUGUUUGCAGAUGACUGGAGUGUGCCUUUUUUGCCCACACAACUGUUUGGCGACAUAGCUUGGUGUAAAUGAACUAGAAAAACUGAAGUUUCGUAGGUUUUGUUCAUGUUAUGAAAACGUAGUUAUUAAAGUUCUGUUGGAUAGCUCGAAACUGUUUAGUCCCACCGCUGAUCAAAUAUUGUUGCUGUCACCUUUGUUACCUUGAGUAUUUUGUUGGAGGUUCUGUUAGUUGGAUGCACCUUUAUUACCCUACACUUGAUUCCUGUGCAUGAGAAACCCUAAUGUUGCAUUAGACAAGUUUAGAUUUUAGAGUGAGUAUUGUUGCCAUUGGUAAGCCACUGCUAGUCACUGCCGCAGUCUAGUGCUGUUCAUGUUUAGAUGUUUCGUUACAUGUCAUGAAUAGGGUUGCCACCUGGCCCAGUCGGGUUUGGUUUCCGCCAACACAGCCACGUUUUUUUUUUCUUCCUUAAUUAUGCAAGAUGCCAUUUUCACUCCAACAGUGGCAUACCCCAUUUGCCAGACAUCAGAUUCUCCCUGAAUACGACCACUAUAAUGUCCAUCACAAGUGCUUUGUUAAGCCAGGGCAAACAACUAAACUGCCGCGACUGCAUUCAAUCCCAAUUCUUUCAAAUGGCUUGCUGUCUUGAAACUGUCGUGUUAUGCGAAGCUGCAAGAUUGAGGUGUUCAUUUGACUACUAGGUUUUUCUUCAGAGCCUUCUAUCAUGGAAUCGAGCACCGUGUCUAGGUGGAAUGACAGAAAGUUUAUCUGAGUUGGUAGGGAUUGAUUGCAGAGUAGAGUAAGGUGAGCAGACACGAACACAAGAGAAGAGGAACGCGCCGUGUUAUGCUGUCUGGUUUCCUUCUGUGGCGCCCGUCUUUCCGUGUCUCGCUUUCCUACACAAUACUUCUAGCGGCUUCCCUUCAGCUCAUUUUCUCAACAGCCAACCACUGCUCAUGCUUAUUGCAAUGGUUGACGCAGAUAGUAUGGUCCACACCUGCAAGAUUAAGUAUCUAUCACUCCUGUUCGUUCUCCUGUGCCCACAACUCGCUGUGCUGCGGGAACAGUCAAUGAGCUGUUUUCCUUACACCUCAGUCUCUUAAUGGGGUCAAUGGGGUCCAGAACCACUUUUCUAAGUAAUCAUCGAAUGACAUCAGUAUCAAUGUUUACUGCCUCACAAGUUGAUUACCGCAAAGAUUUCUCGUAUCAGUCAAGAACGAGCGGAGUUAGAGGGAUUUGUCGCAUGCUUUAAGCGCUUUCUCUCUUCUCUCAUCCCGACGAGCACGCUGGAAGCUACACAGGGAGGGCCGACACAGGGGAAAGAAGCUACGUCAGCACGUGUCAUGACCUCGAGCACGCAUGAUGAAACGCGACCAUUCUCUCUCGCUGCAAUUCGUGUGUGCGAGUGUUGCUCACUGUAUAAUGUCAAUAGACUAUGGAGCGUAGGCGCCACCUCGUGGUAACACCCCUUGCCAAGAGGUGCAUCUAUUCCAAACACCACUCUUGAUUCAUGUCGGUCAUAGGCCAAUAGCAUGCUAUCUGUUGUUCGAAGUCCAACAGUAGGUGCCCCCGCCCACCGAAGAGAGUGGGGACGGGCCUCUGUAUGAGAAUCGUGGCGUUUUAUAAAAUGAUAACUUCACGCUCGACUUCUGUACCCUCCUUGCCAUGCACGAUUGCAAGAUUUGGCUGAGCUGUUCAUAAAUGUUUCUGCUUUCCACAGGGUGUGUUUUCUCACCAAGCCAGAGUGUUGGUUUAUGACCCGUUUAAAAUUUACGUAAAACCCUAAAAAAUUUUCAGUCAUCUAAAAAUUCGUGCUCAAGGAUAUCCCCUUUUUCAUUGCGUUUGUAUCUAAACACACCUCCCAUCCCACCGUGCCAGUUCUUUUCUCAGCAAAUGUGGCAACCCUAUUCAUGCAAAACAACGUAUUGCGACACCCGUGGUUUUGCCUUCUAUGUUAUCACUUGUGUUGUGAUUGCCAUAUCGGAGUAUCUAUCACGUUACAGCUGAUCCUAGCUAUAGUUGAGAGUGUAUAAAAGAGAGCUGAAAUCUAGUCACUGUUAGUCAUGUACCACCCAGAAACUGUAGUCACGAGAAUGCUUCACGGCACGCUUCCACGAAAGCAAAACCUGCAAUGUUCGUCGCUGUUGCGAUAGUUUGCCAAGUACACGCCGCUGUGAAAAGUUGUCUUGCAUAUACUGCAUGUGCAAGCGAGAAAAAUUUUCCUGUUUGCUUAGUCGUAUGCGACACAUAGCGUCUAAUAGCUACAACCAAAUAUAUAGCUGAAGUUUUAUAUAUAUGUAUACUCAUGUUAGGUUUGUGUUUGUCGCGCGCACAAUGUCGUACAUCCCAAAAUAAAUGUCCUUUUUCCUA